GUGCUUGCUUUGUCAGCACAUAUACUAGAAUUGGAACGAUACAGAUAUGACUAGCAUGGCGCCUGCCCAAGGACGACACACACAUCUAUGAAGCGUUCCAUAUUUUU
rnacentral:snRNA from 1 species